UAAGUAUACCGGAAGGUGUGCUUGGAAACGAAAUGUAAUUUAAUUAAAAUCCCUUGCUUACACCAAGAAAAUACCUGAUAAACCCAGAUCAUUUCGAGCUGAACUUCUAGCCGCAACACCCCUCCUGUUGAACCAACAAUACCCACAACCUCUUAAAACAUUCUACCUCUCUAGUACAGGCGAUCGAAAAACUCCUCAGAGCUAUAAAUAGUACCGCAAGGGAACAAUGAAAUAGAAAUGAAAUAACACUAAAGCACAACUCAGUAGAGACUACCCCUCGUACCUUUUGCAUCAUGAUUCAGCAAGUCUAAUCAAGCAAAAAGAAUUACAGUUUGACCCCCCGAAACCAAGUGAGCUACUCCAAGGCAACUUAUCGAGUUAACCCGUCUCUGUAGCAAAAGAGUGGGGUGACCUUUGAGUAGAGGUGAUAAACCUACCGAACUUGGUGAUAGCUGGUUGCUCAAGAAACGGGUGUAAGCCCCACCUUAAACUUCCCUCACCACAUAUUAGUACCCCAAACGUUUAAGAGCCACUCAAAUAAGGUACAGCUUAUUUGACAAAGGACACAACCUACACUAUUGGGUAAUGCUCCGGACCCAAUGAACAAGUUGGCCUAAAAGCAGCCACCUUCUAGAUAGCGUCAAAGCUUCCUCAUAAAUCCACAAAAUACCUCAACAUCCACAAAACCCUUUAACACUAUUGAGCGAUUCUAUAUUCUAUAGAACCCCUUAUGCUAAAAUCAGUAACACGGAGCACCCCUCCUCUGCAGCGCAAGUGUACAUCAAAACGGACACACCACUGAUAAUUAACGCCCAUGAGCCUACAACGGUAACCUCACAAGAAAACCCCGCUACCCCAGCCCCGUUAACCUAACACAAGAGCGCCCCCAGAAAGAUUUAAAGAAGCGGAAGGAACUCGGCAAAACCUAACCCCGCCUGUUUACCAAAAACAUCGCCUCUUGAAAAAAUAAGAGGUCCAGCCUGCCCAGUGACCUAGUUCAACGGCCGCGGUAUCCUGACCGUGCAAAGGUAGCGUAAUCACUUGUUCUUUAAAUAAGGACUAGUAUGAAUGGCAUCACGAGGGUUGAACUGUCUCCCGCCUCUAAUCAGUGAAAUUAAUCCCCCCGUGAAGAAGCGGGGAUAAAACUAUAAGACGAGAAGACCCCAUGGAGCUUAAAACGACCGGCACCUGCUAACCCCCACAUUUAAGUUAAGCAUCCUGACCUUUAGUUUUCGGUUGGGGCGACCACGGAGAACAACCCACCCUCCACGCUGAAUGAUUUUAUCUAAGCUAAAAAUUUCCACUUUAAGCAUCAGCAUCCUGACACCCAUUGACCCAAUACAAUUGAUCAACGAACCAAGUUACCCUGGGGAUAACAGCGCAAUCCACUUCCAGAGCCCCUAUCGACAAGUGGGUUUACGACCUCGAUGUUGGAUCAGGGUAUCCCAGUGGUGCAGCCGCUACUAACGGUUCGUUUGUUCAACGAUUUAAAACCCU
rnacentral:rRNA from 1 species